UACGUAGGGUGCAAGCGUUGUCCGGAAUUAUUGGGCGUAAAGAGCUCGUAGGCGGCCUGUUACGUCUGCUGUGAAAUCCCGGGGCUUAACCCCGGGCGUGCAGUGGAUACGGGCAGGCUGGAGGCAGGCAGGGGAGAACGGAAUUCCCGGUGUAGCGGUGAAAUGCGCAGAUAUCGGGAGGAACAUCAGUGGCGAAAGCGGCUUCCUGGUCCAGCACCGACGUUCAGGCACGAAAGCGUGGGGAGCAAACAGG
rnacentral:rRNA from 1 species